UAUUGUCUGGGGAGCUUAAUUUGCUAGAGCUCUUUCAUCCUAUCCUUAAUUAUGUAUAUAUUUAAUGACCGAGCCCCCUUCUGCCUGCUCAGCGCUUGUAUGACACCACUUCUCUUAGUGCCACCUGAUGACUCACGGCUCUCCCUUUUUACUCUCCUUGCUUCAAACUCUACACUUAAAUAUCAAUACUCAGUUCAGCUUUGAGUAUUAAGACAUUUUUUUUCCCCCUCUGCUUCCUUGAAGAGCCGUGUGCAAGCCUUUUCACAUUUUUUUCUGGACCAAACAGUGGUGGUUUUACAUGAGAACGAGAGCUCUUCCUGCUCCUGAACGCCUGUUUGGAAGCGAGCUCUAGACUGCUACCUGCCCAUUUCUGCAUGGCUGAGCAAAUUCACCGGUAAAUCCCAGCCUCUCCUCAUUUCCAUCACUGUGCGUCUCCAAAUUACAGAGAAUCCAUUCCUGAGCUGGACAGGUGCCAGAAGUUUCUCAUCCCGCUGUCGGUGGCUGUCUUUUCCUCUCCCGUCUUCGAGGCUUUCUGAUUCCUGGAGUGAGCUCGACUCAGAGGUUCCCAGCCUCUCCCUCGCCUGGCAUUCCCCCACAGUCACAUCCAGCUCGGUGAUUCAGAGGACGACGUGUGGCAGCUUUUGAUUCUCCUCUCCUGUUACCUGCAGGUGUUCCAGAAACUUCAAAAUGCGUCUGAUAGGAAGACCAGCACAGAGAGGUCAAGUGGAUUACUCAAGACAACAGCACCAGUAAACAGCAGGAUUGAAGACUUGGACCCAGUAUUCCUACUCCAGGGCCAGGCUUGGCCCCCACAAAUGCUGCCUCCAGCUUCCUUGGUACUGUGGCUCAUCAGAACAGUGUGUUUCUUUGGGUCAAGAAAUCACGUGUCUUGGCAUAGCGCCUGAGGAAGGAUGGCAUCAUUCCCAUUUUACAGACAAUGUGAAGCUGUCUGCAGACACUUUGAGCACCCAAGUCACACAUCCAGGAGCAGUACGUUGCGGUGUCCUAUAGAGACCAUGAGUGUUACUUGUUUCAAUAAUUCCCCGAGGAGGAAGACUUGUUCCUUAGUCCAUUUGGGUAGCUAUGCCAAGACCACAGACCAGGGGGCUUAUAAAAACAGAAAUUGGUUCUUCAAAGUUCCAGUAGGAAUGGGAUUUGUGCCAGCUUCCUUGACUCUGUGUCCUCCUGUGCUCACUAGGUGGAAGGAAGUGUAAGAGCCCUCUGGGCCUGUUUCUAAGGCUACUAACCCAUCCAGGAGGCUCCAACUUCUUGAUCUGGUCAUCCCGAAUACUUACCUCCAACACCAUAACCUGGGAAGCUGGUGCUUUAACAGGUAGAUUCUUGGGAAGUGCAAACAUUCAGAUGACAGCAACUCAUUUAAUCCUGGAAGGGAAUGCAGGACUGGCAUUGAUAUCGGGUGGUGAGCUACAGGCUCAAGGGGACUCAGGCAUGGCAAAAACUGGCCAUGGUGAGGCCCAUGACCUCUGGAUGAGGAGACGCAGUCAGCCCAAGGAAAUCCCGCACAUAGCCAGCUUCCUCCCCAUCAGAACAACGUGGAGAGUUGUGCAUCAGGAAAGAGGUAGUGAGGACAUGUUCUGGUCUUUGUACUCCCUGCAUCCCUCCAGGAAAAGCACCCAAAGAUCUGUCCUUCAGACUCUUACCUUCAACUUCCAGGUUUUUAAUCAGACUCAUCACAGUAAAACAUAUCACCAAAAACAUGGAGCAAAAAAAUUGGAAAAAUGUCUCUGCAUUAGCACUUCAGUUGCCUUUACAAACAGUUUUACAAAGUCGGCUCUUCUCUGUGCUUGCUUGCUAACCCUCUUGUUUAAGUCCCUGAGCAUCAACUUGGUUUCUUUGAAUUACGUCAUGAGCUUGUUGGUGCCUGGUUUAUGAAUGAUCAGUAACAAAUGAC